GUUCAGAUCAUACCUCCGGUCUAAUUAUCGAUUAUCUGUGUACUUCGUCAUAGCUUAAUCGAUGUGAGAUUAGUACUAGUUAGCAAUUUGUUCCUGUGCGUUUUGCUACCCCUGAUAUUCUUACCGAAACUAAGGUUUCUUUUCGACGACAGGUAGCAGUCCAGAUCAUACCCCCGGUCCAAUUAUCGAUUAUCUGUGUACUUGGUUAUAGAUUAAUCACUGCGAGAUUAGUACUAGUUAGCAAUUUGUUCCUGUGCGUUUUGCUACUCCUGAUAUUCUUAGUUUAUUGCUGAAACUAAGCUACAGUAUCAGAUACAGUGUGCUGCAUAGCCUUAGAAAAUGAGUUAUUUCGUAAACAAGGUACAACCUUGCACUUGAGGGCAUAUAGGUGUUCCUAAAUUGAAAUUAUUUGCUUAUGCCAUGCUUGUACUCAUCAUUGUGGAAAUAUAAAAAUUAGGAAGAGAUUUUAUAUCAUAGUGUUUGCUAUAUUUCUGAAGUCUGAACCUAUACAUAAAAAUGAACAUGUUAGUUUUAGAUGCUUGUCAAUCGCUGGCAAAAAGAAAUAUUGAGGUUCAGAAUUUUUUAGCAUCAGGAUAGCAUACCUACUGUAGUUAGUAAAACACACAUGGAUCCAACCUUUUCCCUACACAAAGAAGAGUAUUCAACAUGCUGGUCAGUCCUGUAUCUUUUUUCUUUUUUUUGCGAAAGGAUUAGAUUGCAUUAAGCCACUGUUCUUACAGAAAGACCUAGAGAAAAAAGGAAAUUACAACGAACUCCUCCUUCUACUAGAUCCCGACUCCGACAAAGACAACGAGCCGUCGGCGGCGCGCCGCUGCCGCUGCUCCGCAUCACGCCUUGGAAAAGAGCCAGCCCCAUGGCAGACGGGAAGUCGCCAAUCGCCGGGUCCGCAAACCCUACUCGCAGAAACGCCAUCGUCGUCAUCGCAGAGAGCUUGAACGCCAUCUUCACCUUCUUCUUCACACACCGGAAUCGCCGCCUAGUCGACCCCGAACGGGGCACGACGAACUCGUCAGAUCCUCGGACCGCCAAGCUCGAGGAAGACAGCUGCUUGACGAAGAAGCUCCGGGGAGCGCCGUCGCCGGAAGGGAAGCACGCCGACACCAAACACCACCUCGACCGCAUCCCCGCCUCCAAGACGCCGUCGGCUGGAUCCGAACCUACCCCUACACUAUGUACAGGCCUCGAUCCGUGGAUUUCCCAGCCUCCCGCCGCCGGAGCGGCCGGCGGAGGCGGAGAAAUCCACGGAUCGGAGGCGAGCGAGGUGGGGAAAACUCGGAGGUUCACAAAAUCGCCUCUCAGCACUGUAGACGGGAGAGAGGGGAACGUCCAAGUCUGGCCAACACAGAGUUCUUUGGUCAGUCCUGUAUCAACGCUAAAAAAGGGCUAAACGAGUUGUGCUAAUUCCAAUUGGAAGCAUCUGAUUGAUAUACACAUGGUAAAUUGGUAAUUCGUGAGGUAAAUAGCUGAAUUUCAGUACCUAUAUUCAGGUUUUGGGUAAAGAGUUAGAGUUAGAGUUUAGGAAACCAAAUUCUGGUAAAUAACCUUAGUAGUGUCGCAACCUUUCUUCUAUCAUUGUUACAUCAUGUUCAGUGCAGCCUCUAUACAUAUAUACAUGUAGUUACAGUAGCAUGCCACGGGUCUCACUUGUGAACCAUCUUUGCUACCCUUUGACGAGAGCGUCCCUGCGCCCCUUCCCGACGACCUCCCCUGAUUCCAGCUAUGUUCUGAACGCAUCCUUCCUCUGUUGGUUCAGUUCGACAAUAAGGCAAAUCAAGCUUCUACAAAGCCACCUGGGAGAAAGCAUAUUCCAAAGAUAUGUACAACUUGUUUUUAACUUAUUCCCCUUAUUUGGGAAACUGUACGCAAUGCAUGCCUUACACUCCGGUUAUUCAUAUAUGAUGUUAAUUGUUACUGUUAAUAUUUGAUUUUGUUUCAGACUUAAGUAAGAUUGUCUAAAUUAUGUUUGCUGCAGUUGCCCUUUCCAUUGGAUUUCCUAUACGCAGAUCCUGAGUGCAAGAUCCAAGAAGGAUGCAUAGCCUGUUGGGAAAAAUUCUUGGCUAGCAUGCUGGAAACAUACACUGGACCUGAUAGCAGAGAACACUGUUAGGAACAAUUCCUGGCUCCUUGCAUUUGCUUCAACUUCGGUCUACACAGAAGAGAAGAAUAACCGUGUGUGUUUGUAGAGCUGGAACAAAACAUUAGCAAUGUUUUUUCUGAUAGAUGCAAUGGAUUAGCUAGUCGUUUAUCAAUGUAGUUUCUUAUCGGUGCAAUGAAUUAGCUAGUUGUGGAUUUAUGAGUUUUCAUUGUCAAUUUAUUUUCAGCACGCUGAUACUUUGUAAAGUCAGUAUGUACUUUUGACUUUCAAUGAAUAAAGGUUUAUCAUGUGCAUAA